CCUACGGGAGGCUGCAGUGAGGAAUAUUGGUCAAUGGGCGCGAGCCUGAACCAGCCAAGUCGCGUGAGGGAAGACGGUCCUAUGGAUUGUAAACCUCUUUUGCCGGGGAGCAAAAAGCGGUACGUGUACCGCAUCGAGAGUACCCGGAGAAAAAGCAUCGGCUAACUCCGUGCCAGCAGCCGCGGUAAUACGGAGGAUGCGAGCGUUAUCCGGAUUUAUUGGGUUUAAAGGGAGCGUAGGUGGAUUGUUAAGUCAGUUGUGAAAGUUUGCGGCUCAACCGUAAAAUUGCAGUUGAAACUGGCAGUCUUGAGUACAGUAGAGGUGGGCGGAAUUCGUGGUGUAGCAGUGAAAUGCUUAGAUAUCACGAAGAACUCCGAUUGCGAAGGCAGCUCACUGGACUGCAACUGACACUGAGGCUCGAAAGUGUGGGUAUCAAACAGGAUUAGAUACCCCAGUAGUC
rnacentral:rRNA from 1 species